AUUUAGUCCAUCAGGCAAAUUGGUUCAGAUUGAGUAUGCAUUAGCUGCUGUAGCUUCUGGUGGAUCUUCUGUUGGCAUUAAAGCUACAAAUGGUGUUGUGCUGGCUGCUGAAAAGAAACAAAAAUAAAUUCUUUAUGAUGAUUCCACCAUUCACAAGGUUGAUGAAGAAGAAUCUGUUAACGAACAAGAAGAGAGAGAGAAAUCUCACCUGUCAUGAGAAACUUGCGUAGCUGAAUUAAACAUAUUGGCUGAAAAUGUUAACCACUGCAAAAAAACUGUCACUGAAACGUUGUCCUCAGAAAUAGUGUUUACUCAAAAAAUUGUAAUGCAUGUCCUUGUUUUUGUGGGCAACGCCCAUUUUUGCAGGGCAAAU